UGUCUACUAGUUGUCGGGUUUUAAUUAACUUGGUAACGCAGCUAACGCGUGAAGUAGACCGCCUGGGGAGUACGGUCGCAAGAUUAAAACUCAAAGGAAUUGACGGGGACCCGCACAAGCGGUGGAUGAUGUGGAUUAAUUCGAUGCAACGCGAAAAACCUUACCUACCCUUGACAUGUACGGAAGCCACGAGAGAUCGAGGUGUGCUCGAAAGAGAACCGUAACACAGGUGCUGCAUGGCUGUCGUCAGCUCGUGUCGUGAGAUGUUGGGUUAAGUCCCGCAACGAGCGCAACCCUUGUCAUUAGUUGCUACAUUCAGUUGAGCACUCUAAUGAGACUGCCGGUGACAAACCGGAGGAAGGUGGGGAUGACGUCAAGUCCUCAUGGCCCUUAUGGGUAGGGCUUCACACGUCAUACAAUGGUACAUACAGAGGGCCGCCAACCCGCGAGGGGGAGCUAAUCCCAGAAAGUGUAUCGUAGUCCGGAUCGCAGUCUGCAACUCGACUGCGUGAAGUUGGAAUCGCUAGUAAUCGCGGAUCAGCAUGUCGCGGUGAAUACGUUCCCGGGUCUUGUACACACCGCCCGUCACACCAUGGGAGCGGGUUUUACCAGAAGUAGGUAGCUUAACCGCAAGGGGGCGCUUACCACGGUAGGAUUCGUGACUGGGGUGAAGUCGUAACAGGUAGCCGUAUCGGAAGGUGC
rnacentral:rRNA from 1 species